rnacentral:rRNA from 1 species
GACGAACGCUGGCGGCGUGCUUAACACAUGCAAGUCGAACGGAAAUGCCCUGCUUUUGUGGGGUGCUCGAGUGGCGAACGGGUGAGUAACACGUGAGUAACCUGCCCUUGACUUUGGGAUAACUUCAGGAAACUGGGGCUAAUACCGGAUAGGAGCUCCUGCUGCAUGGUGGGGGUUGGAAAGUUUCGGCGGUUGGGGAUGGACUCGCGGCUUAUCAGCUUGUUGGUUGGGUAGUGGCUUACCAAGGCUUUGACGGGUAGCCGGCCUGAGAGGGUGACCGGCCACAUUGGGACUGAGAUACGGCCCAGACUCCUACGGGAGGCAGCAGUGGGGAAUAUUGCACAAUGGGCGGAAGCCUGAUGCAGCAACGCCGCGUGCGGGAUGACGGCCUUCGGGUUGUAAACCGCUUUCGCCUGUGACGAAGCGUGAGUGACGGUAAUGGGUAAAGAAGCACCGGCUAACUACGUG